rnacentral:rRNA from 1 species
UACGUAGGGGGCUAGCGUUGUCCGGAUUUAUUGGGCGUAAAGAGCGUGUAGGCGGCCAGGUAGGUCUGCUGUGAAAACUCGAGGCUCAACCUCGAGACGUCGGCGGAAACCAUCUGGCUAGAGUCCGGAAGAGGAGAGUGGAAUUCCCGGUGUAGCGGUGAAAUGUGCAGAUAUCAGGAGGAACACCAAUAGCGAAGGCAGCUCGCUGGGACGGUAUUGACGCUAAGGCGCGAAAAGCGUGGGGAGCAAACAGG